GUUUUAAGAAAAACUUACUAUUGGAGUGAUCUUCAAAUUUGGUUAUAAUUUAAAGAAAAGUUAUUAUUGAAGAUCGAAUUAAGAUCGAUUUUUUGGUAGAAAAUCGAAGAUCAGUAUAUUUGACCAAAGAACGAGAAAGAGACAUCGGAAGAUGUGGAUGGAGAGACAUGGAGGAGUAGUCGAAAGAGAGGCAGCUCGGUUCAAUUUGACGAGGUGUAGGUAAACAGGGGAGAUCCGGCAAGUUUGUUUGGCUGUGGAGGCAACUACGGCAACGUCCUUUAAUUUACGUUAGCACGUAACAUCAGUGUAACCAGGGUUCAGAGUAUCGGUUCUCUUCGCGAACUUAGUGACGACGAAUGGCGUAUACGCGUUCGCCAUCGCCUUUAACCGUGCUUCGCGACUCGUGAUUUAACGCUGUCUGCGUAAACAAAAGGGGUGCCCUUUACAAAUAGUUAUCGUUUCUGUCUGUUAUUGGAGGUGCAAAGGG